ACCCGGUGAACUGAAACAUCUAAGUAGCCGGAGGAAAAGGAAUCAACAGAGAUACCCUCAGUAGCGGCGAGCGAAGAGGGCAGAGCCCAAACCAGAGCGGGAAACCGCUGUGGGGUUGCGGACUGCUAACAAAUGGUUGGACGAAGCAGAACCAGUUGGGAAACUGGGCCAGAGACGGUGAGAGCCCGGUAAGCGUAAGGAAGACCAUGGAGCAGGAUCCAGAGUACCACGGGGCACGAGGAACCUUGUGGGAAGCAGGGGGGACCACCCUCCAAGGCGAAACACUGAUAUGGACCGAUAGCGAAUAGUACCGUGAGGGAACGGUGAAAAGAACCCCGGGAGGGGAAUGAAAGAGAACCUGAAACCGUAUGUCUACAAACAGUCGGAGCGCUUUACAUGCGCGACGGCGUGCCUAUUGAAGAAUGAACCGGCGAGUUACUGUUGCCAGCGAGGUUAAGCGGAAAACGCGGAGCCGAAGCGAAAGCGAGUCUGAACAGGGCGAUAAGUUGGUAGCAGUAGACCCGAAACCACAGUGAUCUACCCAUGUCCAGGUUGAAGCACAGGUAAAAAUGUGUGGAGGACCGAACCAGUGAGCGUUGAAAAGCUUUUGGAUGAGAUGUGGGUAGGGGUGAAAUGCCAAUCGAACGUGGAGAUAGCUGGUUCUCCCCGAAAUAGCUUUAGGGCUAGCCUCAUGGUAAGAGUACAGGCGGUAGAGCACUGAACGAGGUAGGGGCCUGUCCGGCUACCGAACUUAAUCAAACUGCGAAUGGCUGUACUUAUACAUGGGAGUCAGACUGCGAGUAAUAAGGCCCGUAGUCAAGAGGGAAACAGCCCAGACCAACAGCUAAGGUCCCCAAUGCCGUACUAAGUGGCGAAGGAUGUGGAAUUUCGAAAACAACCAGGAUGUUGGCUUAGAAGCAGCCACCAUUAAAAGAGUGCGUAAUAGCUCACUGGUCGAGAGACUCUGCGCCGAAGAUGACCGGGGCUAAAGUACGGAACCGAAGCUUUGGCAAGUAUCGAAAGAUACUUGGGUAGGGGAGCGUUCCUGCAUGGGAGAAGCCUGACCGGAAGGACAGGUGGACAGGCAGGAAGAGAGAAUGCCGGUAUGAGUAGCGAAAAGAAAGGUGAGAAUCCUUUCCACCGAAAGCCUAAGGGUUCCUGGGCAACGAUCGUCGACCCAGGGUAAGUCGGGACCUAAUCCGAGGCGGAGACGCGUAGGAGAUGGACAACAGGUUGAAAUUCCUGUACCGCAGGAGUCUGUUUGAGCGAAGGAGUGACACAGAAAGGAAUGCGCGCGUGCGAUUGGAAGAGCACGUCCAAGCUGGUAGGUUGUGUGGCAGGCAAAUCCGCCAUACUAAAAGCCGAGAAGUGAUGGGGAGCCAUUGGAGACAAUGGCGAAGGGGCAGGAACUAGGCUGUCGAGAAAAGCUUCUAGUGAGGACUCAGGCGCCCGUACCGAAACCGACACAGGUAGGCAGGAAGAGAAUUCUAAGGUGCGCGGGAAAACCCUCGUUAAGGAACUCGGCAAAAUGUAUCCGUAACUUCGGGAAAAGGAUAGCCUAAAGUAUGUGAGCUGCAGAAACGCAGGGAGCAGGAAUAGGCGGCAGAAGAGAGGCCCAAGCGACUGUUUACCACAAACACAGGCGUCUGCUAAAGCGAAAGCUGACGUAUAGAUGCUGACACCUGCCCGGUGCUGGAAGGUUAAGAGGACGUGUUAGCCGUACGGCGAAGCAGAGAAUUGAAGCCCCAGUAAACGGCGGCCGUAACUAUAACGGUCCUAAGGUAGCGAAAUUCCUUGUCGGGUAAGUUCCGACCCGCACGAAAGGUGUAACGAUUUGGGG
rnacentral:rRNA from 1 species